rnacentral:rRNA from 1 species
AAUAGAUACCCGGGUAGUCCACGCCGUAAACGAUGUCGACUUGGAGGUUGUUCCCUUGAGGAGUGGCUACCGGAGCUAACGCGUUAAGUCGACCGCCUGGGGAGUACGGCCGCAAGGUUAAAACUCAAAUGAAUUGACGGGGGCCCGCACAAGCGGUGGAGCAUGUGGUUUAAUUCGAUGCAACGCGAAGAACCUUACCUACUCUUGACAUCCAGAGAACUUUCCAGAGAUGGAUUGGUGCCUUCGGGAACUCUGAGACAGGUGCUGCAUGGCUGUCGUCAGCUCGUGUUGUGAAAUGUUGGGUUAAGUCCCGCAACGAGCGCAACCCUUAUCCUUUGUUGCCAGCGGUUCGGCCGGGAACUCAAAGGAGACUGCCAGUGAUAAACUGGAGGAAGGUGGGGAUGACGUCAAGUCAUCAUGGCCCUUACGAGUAGGGCUACACACGUGCUACAAUGGCGUAUACAAAGAGAAGCGACCUCGCGAGAGCAAGCGGACCUCAUAAAGUACGUCGUAGUCCGGAUUGGAGU